GAUGAACGCUAGCGGCAGGCCUAACACAUGCAAGUCGAGGGGGAAGUUACUUUCGGGUGACUGAGACCGGCGUACGGGUGCGUAACGCGUAUACAAUCUGCCUCUCACUGGGGGAUAGCCCGAAGAAAUUUGGAUUAAUACCCCAUAGUAUAUAGGGACGGCAUCGUUUUUAUAUUAAAGCUUAGGUGGUGAAAGAUGAGUAUGCGUUCUAUUAGCUAGUUGGAGAGGUAACGGCUCCCCAAGGCGAUGAUAGAUAGGGGUUCUGAGAGGGAUGUCCCCCACACUGGUACUGAGAUACGGACCAGACUCCUACGGGAGGCAGCAGUGAGGAAUAUUGGACAAUGGUCGGAAGACUGAUCCAGCCAUGCCGCGUGCAGGAUGAAGGUCUUAUGGAUUGUAAACUGCUUUUGUAAGGGAAGAAUAAGGGCUACGCGUAGUUUGAUGACGGUACCUUACGAAUAAGCAUCGGCUAACUCCGUG
rnacentral:rRNA from 1 species